rnacentral:rRNA from 1 species
UACGUAGGGUGCAAGCGUUGUCCGGAAUUAUUGGGCGUAAAGAGCUCGUAGGCGGUUUGUCGCGUCUGCUGUGAAAACGCGAGGCUCAACCUCGCGCCUGCAGUGGGUACGGGCAGACUGGAGUACUGCAGGGGAGACUGGAAUUCCUGGUGUAGCGGUGAAAUGCGCAGAUAUCAGGAGGAACACCGGUGGCGAAGGCGGUUCUCUGGGCCUUACCUGACGCUGAGGAGCGAAAGCGUGGGGAGCGAACAGG